rnacentral:rRNA from 1 species
UACGAAGGGGGCUAGCGUUGCUCGGAAUCACUGGGCGUAAAGGGCGCGUAGGCGGACUCUUAAGUCGGGGGUGAAAGCCCAGGGCUCAACCCUGGAAUUGCCUUCGAUACUGAGAGUCUUGAGUUCGGAAGAGGUUGGUGGAACUGCGAGUGUAGAGGUGAAAUUCGUAGAUAUUGGGAAGAACACCGGUGGCGAAGGCGGCUCACUGGCUCGUAACUGACGCUCAUGCACGACAGCGUGGGGAUCAAACAGG